AUGAACGCUGGCGGCGUGCCUAAUACAUGCAAGUCGAGCGAACGGACGAGAAGCUUGCUUCUCUGAUGUUAGCGGCGGACGGGUGAGUAACACGUGGAUAACCUACCUAUAAGACUGGGAUAACUUCGGGAAACCGGAGCUAAUACCGGAUAAUAUUUUGAACCGCAUGGUUCAAAAGUGAAAGACGGUCUUGCUGGCACGUAUAGAUGGAUCUGCGCUGCAUUAGCUAGUUGGUAAGGUAACGGCUUACCAAGGCAACGAUGCAUAGACGACCUGAGAGGGUGAUCGGCCACACUGGAACUGAGACACGGUCCAGACUCCUACGGGAGGCCGCAGUAGGGAAUCUUCCGCAAUGGGCGAAAGCCUGACGGAGCAACGCCGCGUGAGUGAUGACGGUCUUCGGAUCGUAAAACUCUGUUAUUAGGGAAGAACAUAUGUGUAAGUAACUGUGCACAUCUUGACGGUACCUAAUCAGAAAGCCACGGCUAACUACGUG
rnacentral:rRNA from 1 species